rnacentral:rRNA from 1 species
UACAGAGGGGGCAAGCGUUAUUCGGAAUUAUUGGGCGUAAAGGGCGCGUAGGCGGCCAGGCAAGUGGUAGGUGAAAUCCCUCGGCUUAACCGAGGAACUGCCCUCCAAACUGCUUGGCUUGAGACCGGGAGAGGUGAGUGGAAUUCCCAGUGUAGCGGUGAAAUGCGUAGAUAUUGGGAGGAACACCAGUGGCGAAGGCGGCUCACUGGACCGGUACUGACGCUGAUGCGCGAAAGCGUGGGGAGCAAACGGG